UCCCAGACUCCUACGGGAGGCAGCAGUGGGGAAUAUUGCACAAUGGGGGAAACCCUGAUGCAGCAACGCCGCGUGAGUGAGGAAGUAUUUCGGUAUGUAAAGCUCUAUCAGCAGGGAAUAGAAAAGAAGGUACCUGAAAAAGAAGCCCCGGCUAACUACGUGCCAGCAGCCGCGGUAAUACGUAGGGGGCAAGCGUUAUCCGGAUUUACUGGGUGUAAAGGGAGCGCAGGCGGCCUUGCAAGUCUGAUGUGAAAGGCCGGGGCCCAACCCCGGGACUGCAUUGGAAACUGCGAGGCUGGAGUGUCGGAGAGGCAGGCGGAAUUCCUAGUGUAGCGGUGAAAUGCGUAGAUAUUAGGAGGAACACCAGUGGCGAAGGCGGCCUGCUGGACGAUGACUGACGCUGAGGCUCGAAAGUGUGGGGAGCAAACAGGAUUAGAUACCCGAGUA
rnacentral:rRNA from 1 species